UUAGUACUCCCUCCGUCCCAUAUUAAGUGACUCAAAUUUGUCCAAAUAUGGAUGUAUCUAUAUCUAAAAAGCAUCUAGAUACAUGUAAUAGAAAGCCACUUAAUAUGGAACGGAGGGAGUAGUAA
rfam:Brachypodium distachyon strain Bd21 chromosome 3, whole genome shotgun sequence.